UACGGAGGGUGCGAGCGUUGUCCGGAAUCAUUGGGCGUAAAGGGCGCGUAGGUGGCGGCUUAAGCGUGCGGUGAAAGCUCGGGGCUCAACCCCGAGUCGGCCGUGCGAACUGAGUCGCUUGAGCACUGUAGAGGCAGGCGGAAUUCCCGGUGUAGCGGUGAAAUGCGCAGAUAUCGGGAAGAACACCCGUGGCGAAGGCGGCUCUCUGGGACGUACUGACGCUGAGACGCGAAAGCGUGGGGAGCGAACAGG
rnacentral:rRNA from 1 species